AGGAGGAGGAAGCCGCCGGGCCUUACAACCCAUCUGGUUGGAAACGUCCCGCAGUGCCCGAGCCGCAGGAACCGGAGCCAAUUACAAGUUUAUAUAAUAGAGUCAGUCUCCCCGGGCCUCCCCUCUCCGCCCCACCCCUGCCGGCUUUGGGGAUGGGGGAGGAAACGCUUUCCGUGAAAUACAGGCUGGAUCUAGGACGGAGGAUGCCUUUUCUGGAUUGACAACUAGGGGCCAGUCCUGAGUGUGAGAAACUCCUGGGGUCCCGUUUUGGGAUCCGGACACCUCGGGCGCCGCGCAGGCCUCCUUGUGCCUCUGGAGCGGCCCCGCCUACGGGCCGGGACCUGGAAGGGAGGUGUCCGGGUCGAGCGUUCGCGCUGCUCCCCGCCGCACGGUGUGAGCUCGCAGGGUUUAUGUAACGCCUGCCCUUCGCGGAGGACCGUGUCAUGCCCGAAUCGCGGAGGAUGGAGGAGGCGGGGGCCUGGGCCGCGACGCCCGCCCACGUGACCGUCAGAUGACUGGGGUCUAAGUUUGCACGAGCUCCUUUACCGUAACGCUGAAGGCUCCUCAUCAACAUCGGCUCUUAGUCAUUCCCGAGUGACAUUUGAUAUGAGCAACAGCUCCGGACGGGGAAAUGGCAACGCGGAUGCUGAUGGAGACGACGAACGGCUGCUGCGACCGCCUCUGAUUUGGGCUGGAACGGGAGUUUAUGCGGAGUCAAGGAAACCCACCGCGAAGGGUGCCAGGGAAGACCAGGGCACUUUUCUAGACAAAGAAUCUUAGAUUCUUUGGGGCUAGAUGCAGAGAGUCCGGGAGAAACUGUUCACCGGGUGCCAGGCAGGCGGCUGACCACGCAAGCCACGCUUCAGAUUUGUGGGUUGGUUUUAGAAGUCACAUGAGGUCUGCCUGGACGCCCCUCCCGAUCACGUCAAUUAUCUGUCACAACUUCUCCAAGGCUGGAGUGCGCCCCAGGGACCAGCCCCAUGCCCCCAGCGGGGGAGUUGGUUACAGCUGCAGAAUCCCGGCCCCACCCCGCCUCCAGAGCACGAGCCUGCGCUAGAAGGAUAUCGCCAGGGGAUGGGGGGGAAUGGGAGGGGGGCGGGGAGGUGGUCACGGAUGCAGAGGCUGUCCUGGCUGCGGAGGCAAAAAGCCCGUCCCAAGCCCUGCAUGGGCUCCUACUGCACUUCAGGAUUUGGGGGAAUGCAGAAUCGUGGUCUUUGAGUUUUCAUUAAUUCAAUAAAGAUUUCUCAAAAGCCUAAAUUCUAGAUCCAAGACAGUGGGAAUUAAACAGGGCUGAAUAUGACGCUAUUGGCUAUACCAGGACCACGCCUGAGCAUUGCAUGCACGCUCCAGCUAUGCAUAACUUAUUUAUUUUAAAAGAAGGAAGGAAGAGAGGGAGGGAAACAAGGUGUUUCUUAAGAGUAGAGGAGGGGAGAGGCAACUUGUUGCUUUCACUGGCAGCAGUUAACUCCAUAAGCAAUUUCCUCACUUAAAAGAAAAACAAAUGAAGUAGAGUGGUAGGCUUUUGAAAGGAGGAGCAGAGAGCUCUGGUGAGUGGAAACCUGGCUUUUAUUUACCUUAGGGCCUUGUUAAAACACAUUUGCCUUGAGAUAAAAGGGUUUCUUUUGGGACGAUCCCAAAAUGACUUUGCUUGAUUCAAUUAAGCAAGACCUAACGAAAGAGAAUUCCAGCUUCAAGAUACGCAUCAUCUCACCAGAACAUUUUUAUCAACCCAGAAAGAAAUUCUGUCCCGCUGAGCAGCCAUUCUCCAGGACCCCCACCCCAGCCCCUGGCAACCACAGGUGUGCUUUGUGUGAAGAGAGGCUCUUCAGCUGAGACCUGAGGUGUGAACAGAAGUCAACUUGUCAGAUAGUGAGGGAAGGGAGACAACAGCGGGAACAGUAUCUAGCAGAGCAGAGGUGAAGGCAAGAAAUCAACAGACCUGCGUGGCCAGGGCACAGAAUAUGAAGGUGAAACGUGAAGCUUCAUAUGUCUGCUUUUGCACGGUGCACCGUGAUGAACCUCAACAUAAGAUACUGGUUUUGUUAAUCCCCAGGACACAAAGACAGGUUGGUGGUUAUUAAUGGAUUUCAAAAACGGGCAUCUUGACUUCAUCAUAUACAAUGGAUGGAAUCAAACCCGUAGGAGAUGAUGGUUGUGCUCAUAGGCUGAACUUAGAAGGACAUGAAAGCAGAACUGAUUUAUUUUCAGGUUUUAGGGAUCCAGUAGUGCAUUCGUAUUUCUGUUUAUUGACAUAUAUA